UGCCAGCCGCCGCGGUAAUACGGAGGGUGCUAGCGUUGUUCGGAAUUACUGGGCGUAAAGCGCACGUAGGCGGUUUGGUAAGUUGGAAGUGAAAUCCCGGGGCUCAACCCCGGAACUGCUUUCAAAACUGCUAAACUAGAGUAUGGUAGGGGAUAGUGGAAUUCCUAGUGUAGAGGUGAAAUUCGUAGAUAUUAGGAGGAACACCAGUGGCGAAGGCGAAUGUCUGGGCCAUUACUGAAGCUAAGUUGCGAAAGCGUGGGGAGAAAACAGGAUUAGAUA
rnacentral:rRNA from 1 species